AGCGAACGCUGGCGGCGUGCCUAACACAUGCAAGUCGAACGUGAACGGGGGCAACCCCUAGUAAAGUGGCGUACGGGUGAGUAACGCGUAGGUAAUCUACCCCAGAGUCUGGGAUAACCUGCAGAAAGGCGGGCUAAUACUGGAUAGAGCGAGGGAACUCGAAAUUGAGAUCUUCGGGAAAGGGAGGCAGCAAUGCCCCUUGCUUUGGGAUGAGCCUGCGUCUCAUUAGAUAGUUGGUAGGGUAACGGCCUACCAAGGCGAUGAUGGGUAGCUGGUCUGAGAGGAUGAUCAGCCACACUGGAACUGAAACACGGUCCAGACUCCUACGGGAGGCAGCAGUGGGGAAUCUUGCGCAAUGGAGGAAACUCUGACGCAGCCACGCCGCGUGAGUGAAGAAGGCCUUCGGGUUGUAAAGCUCUGUCGAGCGGGACGAACAUCCAUUGGGUUAACAGCCCAGUGGACUGACGGUACCGCUAAAGGAAGCACCGGCUAACUUCGUGCCAGCCGCCGCGGUAAUAC
rnacentral:rRNA from 1 species